rnacentral:lncRNA from 1 species
GCAGCCUACAAGGCCAAUGAAAAUUGCCAGGCUCAUGGCUGGGUGUUGCCUCAAUACCCUCAGCCCGAGUACUUUGCAUAUCGAUUUUACUCCAAGACGAAUAGCUUCCUAAAGAUUGUCCAAGAGAUGGAAGAACUGAGAUGCAACCAGCAGAAGAGGGUGCUAGUGCACUGCAUUCUCAAUAUGGAAGACUUUGAAGACAAAACCUACACAGCAGACUUCAAUUAUUUGGUGCUGUAUUAGCAAUUGUCACAAUAGAAGAAAUAGAAAAAGUAUAACUGGGGACAAAACAUAUAUUAGAAUUACGUGAUUUCAAAAGGUGUAAUCAUUCUUCAUGGGCAACAGAAAAUUGAGAUCAACGAAAAUGGGAGGAAGGGCAUAUUUUCCAUUUCUAUAGACAUUAACCCUGAAUUAGCGCCCUCAGUAGAUAUGCUUGUCUAUAGCUUGCAUCCUGGAGGAGAAAUGGUCACUGAUAGCACCCAAUUCCGAAUUGAGAAAUGCUUCGAAAAUCAGGUCAACUUAAAUUUUUCUAAAGAAAAAAGUUUACCAGGAUCCAAUAUUGAUCUUCAAGUCUCGGCUGCUUCAAACUCUCUUUGUGCUCUUUGGGCUGUAGACCAGAGUGUAUUGCUACUAAGGAAUUAUGGUCAGCUGUCAGCACAAACUGUGUAUAGUCAGCUAUAUUCCAGGGAACUACAUGGCUAUUACUUCAGAGGACUUAACUUAGAAGAUGGCCUUAAAGUGCCGUGUCUUGAAGAUGAACAUAUCCUUUACAAUGGAAUUUAUUACACACCUGCAUGGGCUGACUUUGGAAAAGAUGGCUAUGACCUUGUGAAGGCAACAGGAUUAAAGAUUUUUACCAACUCUCACCUCCGGAAACCAGUAUUGUGCAAGGAUUCUAACCAUCUUGACUCUACUGAUUACAUACCCUUAGGAUCCUCAAAACAAUCGGAUUUUUCAAAGGCAAAAUGUGACUUCUUUCCGAAAUAUUACCCAACUCUCGUUCCAACUGAUUUCAGAACCAAUGUUUGGAGAUUACUGGAUUGUUGUGAAAAGAAACUCAAGGGAGACAGUGACACACCAAUUUGCUGUUAAAAGAUAUGUGCUGCCCAAGUUUGAAGUUACAGUCAAUGCACCACAAACAGUAACUAUUUCAGAUGAUGAAUUCCAAGUGGAUGUAUGUGCUAAGUACAACUUUGGCCAACCUGUGCAAGGGGAAACCCAAAUCCGGGUGUGCAGAGAGUAUUUUUCUUCAAGCAAUUGUGAGAAAAAUGAAAAUGAAAUAUGUGAGCAAUUUAUUGCACAGUUGGAAAAUGGUUGUGUUUCUCAAAUUGUAAAUACAAAAGUCUUCCAACUCUACCGUUCGGGAUUGUUCAUGACAUUUCAUGUCGCUGUAAUUGUUACAGAAUCUGGGACAGGUAAUUACUUUAUGCAGAUCAGCGAGAAGACCUCAGUUUUUAUCACUCAAUUGCUUGGAACUGUAAACUUUGAGAACAUGGAUACAUUCUAUAGAAGAGGGAUUUCUUAUUUUGGAACUCUUAAAUUUUCGGAUCCCAAUAAUGUACCUAUGGUGAACAAGUUGUUGCAACUGGAGCUCAAUGAUGAAUUUAUAGGAAAUUACACUACGGAUGAGAAUGGCGAAGCUCAAUUUUCCAUUGACACUUCAGACAUAUUUGAUCCAGAGUUCAACCUAAAAGCCACAUAUGUUCGACCUGAGAGCUGCUAUCUUCCCAGCUGGUUGACGCCUCAGUACUUGGAUGCUCACUUCUUAGUCUCACGCUUUUACUCCCGAACCAACAGCUUCCUGAAGAUUGUUCCAGAACCAAAGCAGCUUGAAUGUAAUCAACAG